rnacentral:sRNA from 2 species
AACCCUCGAGCACCCAUACGGCAGGAGCGGGGGACCCACGGUAAGCCGCCGUCCGCGCACGACCCGGACGGCUCGGGGUGAAGUCACGCACGUGUGUGACCGGGCAUCUCCUGCCCGAACCCGACAGCUCACCUCGCAGGCGGAGGAGAAGGAACUC